UCUUAAUAAAAUAUUCACGUGAGAAACAAAAACAAUAUAGUCACCAUUUUCAUUAAUAUUAUUACUUUUAAAAAACAAAUAUCUCUCUCAUAAUGAUCAUGGUCUUUAUCUCUCAUUAUGACCUCACAUUAUUUCUCACAUAAAGCAACAAAAUUACACUAAUUAUUUUCAGCAAAAAAAGUUAAUCAAAGAAGAAGCAAAGAACAUAGGCGGAGCACAUGAACUCACGGCGGCUCGCAUAAAGCUCAUGGCGGCCGGAGCUUCUCCGGCGCGGUGGCCGGAGAAAUUAGCAAUCAAAGGAUGGAAUCGUUAUCAGAGGCUGAUUCUCAACCUUUCAGUGUCAAGUAACGAAACAAGGGCGGAGGAGACGGCUCCGGCGCGGUGGUCGGAGUUCCGACGGUGGUUUCCGGUCAGUUGAAAGAAAAGCAUGGAUGAAAUCUUGAAGAUUAUUGAGCUUGAAAGAUUCAAAGGAAGACAUGAGCAUGGACAUGGAGAAAUAUUGAAGAAAAUGGUGUGGACUUGGAAUAUUUUGAAUUUCCUUAUGUAAACAUAAUGAUGUAACUUUGAGAAUCCGUCCACCUUGUAAUUUGGAAUGAGUUAUGAACUUGAAUGGACUUUCUUG